GGGGGCAUGGCGCAGCGGUAGCGCGUUCGCUUUGCAUGCGAAAGGUCACGAGUUCGAACCUUGUUGCCUCCA